rnacentral:rRNA from 1 species
AGCGAACGCUGGCGGCAGGCCUAACACAUGCAAGUCGAACGAAGCCUUCGGGCUUAGUGGCGGACGGGUGAGUAACACGUGGGAACGUACCUUUUGGUUCGGAAUAACGCAGAGAAAUUUGCGCUAAUACCGAAUGAGCCCUUAGCGGGAAAGAUUUAUCGCCGAAAGAUCGGCCCGCGUUGGAUUAGGUAGUUGGUGUGGUAAAGGCGCACCAAGCCUACGAUCCAUAGCUGGUCUGAGAGGAUGAUCAGCCACACUGGGACUGAGACACGGCCCACACUCCUACGGGAGGCAGCAGUGGGGAAUCUUGCGCAAUGGGCGAAAGCCUGACGCAGCCAUGCCGCGUGAAUGAUGAAGGUCUUAGGAUUGUAAAAUUCUUUUACCAGGGACGAUAAUGACGGUACCUGGAGAAAAAGCCCCGGCUAACUUCGUGCCAGCCGCCGCAGUAAGAC